UACGUAGGCAGCAAGCGUUGUUCGGAGUUACUGGGCGUAAAGAGUAUGUAGGCGGUUGGGUAAGUUUGGUGUGAAAUCUCCCGGCUUAACUGGGAGGGUGCGCUAAAGACUGCCUGGCUCGAGUGUGGGAGAGGAAAGCGGAAUUCCUGGUGUAGCGGUGAAAUGCGUAGAUAUCAGGAGGAACACCUGCGGUGUAGACGGCUUUCUGGACCAUAACUGACGCUGAGGCACGAAAGCGUGGGUAGCAAACAGG
rnacentral:rRNA from 1 species